rnacentral:lncRNA from 1 species
UUCCUGGCCUUAAUGUGAAUAAUAUCUUUAUUCUCACAUCUUUAAUUGUGGAGUUGCAUUUGUCUGCUCCCUGUGCUCCGGUCAUUAAUCUGAUACAUGAGCAGUGCACAAUACCCACACAGCUGAGGGAGCAGUCACUUUUAAGCCCACAAUUGAAUCACCGAUUAUCUGUAGAUUAUGUGUGAAAUGCGCCUCUAGAGCUGCUUUACAACAUAAGACUGAGAGAGGGUAUUUUAACCGAUGUACCAUGGACUUAUGACGGUCAUUUUUUUUUUGCAUUGUCUAAUGUGUUUUAAUAUGUUUGUGUGUGUGUGCAUAGUAAAAUUAAAGUAUGGGACCUACAAGCUGCUCUCGAUCCACGAGCCCCAGCCAGCACUCUGUGUCUACGUACACUAGUGGAACAUUCUGGUCGAGUGUUCCGGCUGCAGUUCGACGAGUUCCAGAUCAUCAGCAGUUCUCACGAUGACACUAUCCUUAUCUGGGACUUCCUCAACGUGUCGACCAACGGGCAGACGGAAGGACGAUCGCCGUCCCGCACGUAUACCUAUAUAUCCAGAUAGCAGGAAGCCCUGGUGGCGUGCGGAGUGUGUGCGAGUGUGUGUGGGGACUGUUCGGGUGACCCAGUCUCUGUUGAAGUGUGCCAGGAUCAAAGGUCGAGGAACGCCACCACCACCACCCCCCUCCCCUUCACCCUCCUCUCUCCAUCUGUCUGUUUUAUCUCUCCCCCUCUUGAGUUGUUUUGAGGGCUGCCCCACGACACAAACCGCGUCCGUUUUCUUUCUCCCUCUGUGUGGAGGAGGAGGUGGAGAAAAGAUGGAGAGAGCGAUGCCAUUAAGCAGAGAGCGUAAGGAUGGGCAUGGAGCCCCCCUCUCACCCCCGCCACCGCGUACAGAGUGACGGCUGCCCCGGCUCCGCCCCCUGGGCACAUGAACUCUGUAUCUAUCUUUUGUUUGUUUUAUUUUUAUUGAUCCAAAAAGUAAAAGAUGAAAAACUAAAGGGAGAAGGCAAGGUCUGCGUGCCUUCCUUCCCUCGGGACUGUUCUGCAUGAAUGAGCGAGCGAUUGGACGUGUAACGUGUGCUGGUCAACCCCUUGGUUUCUGUCUUACGUUUUUGUUUUUUUAUGCUUUUCAUUUUUUUUAAGUUGGGGAAUUGACUUCAUAUUUUCUUUUCUUGUGAAAUCGUAUGAAUAAUUGUAGUUCUCCUGAUAUGUACCUCCAUUUCUCAUUUUUAGCGCUGUCCGUCUCGUUCCCCUUUUCACUGUCUGCUCGUCUAGGUUCUGAAUGACCCAUAACUGAUCUGAAUUUAGUUGUAAACAGAAUUGUCUCGUCUAAAAUGGUGUUGUAUAUUGAAAAGAUUUUUUAAAGAAAAAAAGCGUUAUUAAUAAGAAUAAAAGUACUUGACUGUGAAGGAGUGUUAAGAAGCUUGCAUAAGCGCGUCGUUUUUCGUGUGUGUAC